AUUAAUGAAUUUUGAAAGGGGUUGUAGCUGGCCGUCUCUUUGGGGCGGCAUGUGCACGCCCUGAUCACUAUCCAUCUCACACACCUGUGCACACACUGUAGGUUGGCUUGUGAUCGGAGYUACGGUCUUCAUUGACUUUGCUCUGGUUGGAGGCCCUCCUAUGUAUYAUCACAAACUACUUCAGUUUAAAGAAUGUACUCUUGCGUCUAACGCAUUUAAAUACAACUUUCAGCAACGGAUCUCUUGGCUCUCGCAUCGAUGAAGAACGCAGCGAAAUGCGAUAAGUAAUGUGAAUUGCAGAAUUCAGUGAAUCAUCGAAUCUUUGAACGCACCUUGCGCUCCUUGGUAUUCCGAGGAGCAUGCCUGUUUGAGUGUCAUGGAAYUCUCAACUCUAUUUGCUUUUGUGAAUAGAGCUUGGAUUUGGAGGUUUAUUGCUGGUACUUGUGAUCGGCUCCUCUUGAAUGCAUUAGCUCGAACCUUUGCGGAUCAGCUAUCGGUGUGAUAAUUGUCUACGCCGUUGCAGUGAAGCAUAUCAAUGGGCUCGGCUUCCAAUCGUCCUUUACUGGACAAUGACUUUGACCUUUGACCUCAAAUCAGGUAGGA
rnacentral:rRNA from 1 species